GAUGAACGCUAGCGGCAGGCUUAACACAUGCAAGUCGAGGGGCAGCGGGGAGGAAGCUUGCUUUCUCCGCCGGCGACCGGCGCACGGGUGAGUAACACGUAUGCAACCUGCCCCUGUCAGGGGGACAACCCACCGAAAGGUGGGCUAAACCCGCGUACAUCCGGAGGGGGCAUCCCCUUGGGAGGAAAGGAGCGAUCCGGACAGGGAUGGGCAUGCGGCGCAUUAGCUAGACGGCGGGGUAACGGCCCACCGUGGCGACGAUGCGUAGGGGUUCUGAGAGGAAGGCCCCCCACACUGGUACUGAGACACGGACCAG
rnacentral:rRNA from 1 species